CCACUGCGCCACCAGGGAAGCCCCACAAUCUUAUUCUUUUGCUGAGUAAUUUUACAUAUGUUUUAGGGAACAUUGCUCCCUACAUGGAAGCCCAUUUCUGCUGCUACAGUUUUUAUUUUUGGUCAGCUUCUCUUUCAUCAGUGAAGUUAUGCAUCCAGGCGGUGUUUACCGGUCUUUUAGAAGUCACUUGACUUAGCCUUAGCUUGUGACAGGGCUCUGGGUACACUGUCAAGGAAACAGUCCCCCUACUGUGCCAGUUGGCUGGUUAUCUGUGGUUAUCAUGUGUAUAAAGCAUUUUUAUAAGUUCCCAGAACUCUCUGCUUAAAUGUCAGCUCAACAGAGAGGCCUCCCUGACCACCUCUAAAAUAGCAUCUGUCUCCUGUCUCUCCUCAUUCCUUUACCCUACUAUAUUUAUCUUCAGAGCACUUGUCACCACCUGACACAUUACAUAUUUAUUUGUUGACUCUCUGUCCCUCACCUUCAGAAUGCAAUCUUCAGGAGAGAAGGAGCUUGUCUAUUCCCUGCUAUAUUUCUGUUACCUCAAGUGGUCUCUAACACAUGGCAUUUUGGGAAUGACUGAACGAAAUGAAGGGGAGAAUAAAUGAAUUCUCCUGCUAUUAGUGAAGGGAGGAAGGGGGGCGGGCAAUUUAUACCCAGAGAAAUGGGAGGAGAGAUGGUGACUUGAACAGGAAGGACUCAGGGUAUGUUAGGUAUCUACACUCCAGCCACAGAGCAGAGGAGAAAGGUUCCCAACAUGAAGGCAGAGAUGACAGUAACAAAGGUAAUGAUGAUAGCAAGUCUGUGGCAGGGAUGGACUGCAGUUCACAAACCCGGGUGUGCAAGAAAAACACUUUACUUUCCAUAACUCAGGCCAGUUCUGCUUUUGAGGCUUGAUUUUGGCACAAUGGAGGCACUUAGCAGCAGUAGAAUUACUGUCCUGCUGCACCUUUGCCAGUAAUGGGAGGUAUAUGUUCCCUGCGGUGGGGUGGAGGGUUGACUUCAUCCACAGAUGGCUGCUCCUGCCUGUCUGCACGGACUGGAGAAGCUGGGGCCCAUCACUGUUCGGAGCCUGUCCCGCCAGGAUUUCUCAUUCAUCUGCUUUCUGACUCACCCACUGGGCUCUGUCACAAGUAGGUGAUUUCCCUACAACUAUGUUCUGCUUUUUAACCAUGCCUGUAAUUUCUGUUCUCAAUUCCACGGAGGACAUAUAGUGAUAAUGGUGGCCAUAGUAUUCCAAGACACUGUGAUCAGCAACUCCAGGAAUAUGCCUUCCAAUUCCCACAGCUUCUUAAAGAUCAAGAAAGGCUCUCAGGAAACAUUUCCCACAUCAUUACAGAUCUUCACAAAAAGUAAUUUCAGAGUUCUGGUUCCACCCAAGAUGGAAUAGUUACAUUCCUCUCAGGAUUCCCCUCUUACAACUAAAAAAUCCCUGCACACAACACAACAAACAAGCAUAAAAAGACUCUGAAAGAUAGAAGGCAGACUUCCUAAGAACAACAGGAAUUGAGAAAACAAUAGGUUUUUUUCCUGCCUCCCAUAUAUUCUGAAUGGAGCAUUGGUGAAGCCUGCAAAAUGGAAGCACUAACAAGAACAAUGAAAGAAAAAAAAGGCUCCAAGAAAAGCCUAUUCCUCCUGAACAAAGGACCAAGAAAAGAGAUGCAUAAGAGAACAGAAAACCUUUCUGAUGACACCUCCCCUACUCCAGCCAAACAACAGUGGAUAAAUAUCCCCACCCAAGUUUUCUGUCAGGCCCAAAAGGGAGCUAGUCUUCCAUUUCCCUGACAGCCUCAAGGAAACAGAAGUGAAGUUCUGAUUUAUCCAGCUGGUGGUGUUGGCAGGGCCAAAUAGGGAGCUAACCUUCUAUCUGCACCCAGCAGAAGCAGGCAGUGCUCUGAUUUUCCUGCUUUGGAGCUGUCAGUGGGGCCCACUGCGGAGCUGCACAUCUAUUUCCAUCUGGCAUCAGUGAAAUGGAAGGAGGCAGUUUGUGGGGGGACUAGACGGUCCAUCACAUCCCCCACCGUGGUGUCAGCUCAGCAGGGAGCUGAGCUACACCCCACUUGGAGACAAUGAGGUAGUGUGAGUCAGUGUUAACAGGGUUGUUGAACUUCCACCCCACUCCUUUGUACUCACAGGAGGUAUGAGUCACUGCUCAGCCUUUGUCAGGAUGCUGUCAACAGGGUCCAGCAGGGAGCUGAAAACCCACCCACACCUUGACCUGUAUGCUAUACCUGUAUGCUAAAACGGGUGACUGUCUGCCAAAAAAGUUAAAUAGGAUUCAGUGUCCCACAACAUAAUAAUCAAAAUGUCCAGAAUACAACUGAAAAUUACUCAUCAUACCAACAACCAAGAAAAUCACAAUUUGAGUUAGAGAGACAAUCAACAGAUAUCAACACUGAGAUGAUUCACAUGUUGGAAUUCUCUGACAAGAACUUUAAGG